UGCAUUACCGCAUAAUGCAACGAGGCAUCGAAUCUGAAAGAAACCCACCCCUAAAAAGGGAAACUCAAUGCGUAUAUGAAAUUGCAAUAACAACAAUGUGCGAGCAGGUCAAAAUUCAACAGAAAUUUAGUGUCCCGAACUAUUCCUGCAGAAAUUCGCAGGAAUUGUAGUUCGAUCGAUCGGUCUGCCGUUGUCAUUUUUACACUAAAUUGUUUAGAUCUUGAGUGUCAAUUGUAGUUGAAGAGCAGUCGAAAAAUGUCAAUAAAGAACAGACAUUCCUUAAAUAAAAAUAAUUUAUUUUAGUGUUGUUAGUGAAAAAAUUAAAGUCGAAUAAAAAAAUAAAAAAGUGAAGUGUAAAGUAAUUUAUAAGGUAUACAUUAAUACCAUAAUAAUCAAUCAAUAUAAUAUUAACGUUAAAAAAUUUUGCAAGUGAAAUAAAACAAAUAAUAAUAAUAAAGAAGUUAUAAUAAUAAAAAAUAAAAACAAAUGAAGGUAGCUAAGAAAAUUGUAGGUAGGAGACCGCACCCAAAACGAAUUAAAAAGACUUGCUACAUUCAAGUAUAUGCAGAAAAGGCAUGUAAAUGCGAAGAUAAGGAAGCUUUAAAGACUUUCUUCGAAGGUAAAGUAUAAGCUGCCAUCAAGUAUAUUCCUCUUUUCAUUCAUAUAUAUUUUUUAUUUCUAGAACUGAUGGAAAGAAAAAUGAGCCAAAUUUCUGCACAGUACCAAGUGCUCCUAGAAGAAGUAGCGCAGCAGAAAGUCCUCAUUCAGCAGCUUCUGAAAGAACGCACCGACGACUCAUCGAUAAUGAGAGAAUUUCCUAUUAAAAACAAAACAGAUUUGGGCCGAAUUAAUGAAAAUAUAGAAGUUCGCGGAAGGAAGAACUAAAUCAAAUGUAUGAUUCAAAUUCUCCAGGGUUCUGGAGUAGUGAAAAACCUGAAAAAUAUUAUAACAGACGAAUUGGCCAUGCAGUACAAUAUUGAUGGAGUGUUGGGCAAAGAUUCGCUCAAAGGCUUUACAAAUUUUUUCGACGCCCUUAUUGAGUCCAUUCCUACCGGGAUAGACGCUGGAUCCCCUUCAGCGCCAAAAAUACGCGUAAUAAAAAAAAAUCAUUUAGUAAAUAAAGAAAAUAAAUGAUUAAUAAAUAACAAUAUAAUGUAAGAUAGUACAUAUUUUAAAAAUAAUAAGUAAGAAAAUAAAUUAAAAAAUACAUAUGUAUAAUUGAAUUUACAUAGCUAGGGAUUCUGUAUUAGCGAUUCACUUACGAUUUUGGAACUAGUCAUUUCACCAAUGACUGGUAAUGCAGCGUCGCACCGCUCGAUUACCCUCGUAGGACAUUGCAAUGUAAAAAUCGUUAGUUAAAUAACAUUGCGAGUAAUCGGGCUUGAACUGGUUCUAAUGAUUAGGAAUUAGUCAUAUCGUUAGCUCUUCCCCGAUGGUACCGAACUACAGGGUAUGUGUGAUGAUGUUUUAGACGAUUGUUGUUUUUGUUGAACAAUAUUUGAAGUUUUUGCGACCGACAUAUUUACAUUUGUAUACAGAUAUGUAUAUAUGUACUUAGGUUUGUGUGGGGAUUAUUUGUGUGGGAAUGUCAUACGCAUCAGAGAGCUGCAACGAUCACAAUUUUUUCAAUCAUACCCGAUCAUUGACUCGGAUUUUUUGUGACGCAAAACUUUGCUUCAACAAAAAUGAAUGAUCGUAAGCAAGCGAGCUCAAAGCGAACAUUCAGGUUCAAUCACUGUUGCUUGUUUCGUAAUGAUUUUGUUCGAUCGAAAGCCUUGUGUGAGCAGCAAAGAAUGUUCGAGAAUGUUGCUUGCAUUCAGCUCGAUCACAAUCAUACUGUUUAGUCAUACCGGGUGGCUCGAUGGAAUCAUUGCUCAUUUUAAAUUUAUUAUUUUAAUUGAUAUAUAAAAUGUAUGCC